rnacentral:rRNA from 1 species
CCUACGGGUGGCAGCAGUGGGGAAUAUUGGACAAUGGGCGAAAGCCUGAUCCAGCCAUGCCGCGUGUGUGAAGAAGGCCUUCGGGUUGUAAAGCACUUUCAGUGAGGAAGAAAGCCUUGGGGCUAAUACCCUCGAGGAAGGACAUCACCCACAGAAGAAGCACCGGCUAACUCCGUGCCAGCAGCCGCGGUAAUACGGAGGGUGCGAGCGUUAAUCGGAAUUACUGGGCGUAAAGCGCGCGUAGGCGGUCUGAUAAGCCGGUUGUGAAAGCCCCGGGCUCAACCUGGGAACGGCAUCCGGAACUGUCAGGCUAGGGUGCAGGAGAGGAAGGUAGAAUUCCCGGUGUAGCGGUGAAAUGCGUAGAGAUCGGGAGGAAUACCAGUGGCGAAGGCGGCCUUCUGGACUGACACUGACGCUGAGGUGCGAAAGCGUGGGUAGCAAACAGGAUUAGAUACCCGAGUAUC